rnacentral:rRNA from 1 species
UACGAAGGGUGCAAGCGUUACUCGGAAUUACUGGGCGUAAAGCGUGCGUAGGUGGUGAGUUAAGUCUGUCGUGAAAGCCCCGGGCUCAACCUGGGAAUGGCGAUGGAUACUGGCUCGCUAGAGUGCGGUAGAGGGUGGUGGAAUUCCCGGUGUAGCAGUGAAAUGCGUAGAGAUCGGGAGGAACAUCAGUUGCGAAGGCGGCCACCUGGACCAGCACUGACACUGAGGCACGAAAGCGUGGGGAGCAAACAGG